UUGUUCUUCUGAAAUCGAGGCUAGACGUGUGUAAUAAAAAGCUACCCGGGGCAAACGUGUUUAUCAUAUGUUGUCUUUCAAGAGAGUGGAUUUAUGCAGUUACAAUGAAACGCACCAGUGCUUUUACAGUUCUGCCAUAGUAGGUUCAGGGCUGGUAUGUAGCCGAACUGGAUAUAAUUGAGGAAGAUAAAUUCCAAACUUGUGUAGUUUAUCAAAUGGCAUUUUGCUGGGGACAAAGUAGUUGUUCAAGCUGAACAUUCCAAGAGCCCUACCAUGCCCAGAUCAAAAGAGAUUCCUGAAGAAGUGCGGAAAAAGGUUAUUGAGGCCUACCAAUCUGGAAAAGGGUAUAAAGCAAUUUCUAAAGAUUUGGGACUUCAAAGAACCACAGUCAGAAACAUUGUUGUCAAAUGGAAAAGGUUUGGGACCACAAUGAAUCUUCCCAAGAGUGGCCGUCCUGCCAAAAUCACUCUAGGUGUGAUUAAUAAAAUAAUCCGGGAAGUUAAGAAGAAUCCCCAUGCAACAUACAAAGAUCUACAAGCCUCUCUUGCCUUGGAUAAAAUUUGUGUUCAUAACUCUACUAUAAGUAGGACUGUCUGCAAAGAGAGGAUUCUUGGGAGUGAAUUGCCACCAAAACCAUCCAGCACUAAGAACUGUGAGGUUUCUGUCAAACAUGCCAAAGAGCCUGGUUAAACUGUUGUCACUGGGGAAUGAUCUGUUCAUAUGGACCAACUUUAUUCUUCUUUCAUACCCGCCAUCUUUUCAGUUCUCAUGCCUAAGUGCAAGCUUGUGUAAUUUUGCUGUGCUAUGGCUAUAUUGUAUCUAUACUUUUUCAGUGAGCUAUUUAAUAAACUUAAGGAACUGUA